UUGUUUUCCUGACGACGUUUGCCUCGCAUUUUCGUUUUUAAGAUGGUUAGAUAUUCAAUGGGAAGUAAAUUAUCCAUUUAAAAAUCAAAUUGGAUGCACUAGUUAAUAUUAUUAUUAAAAACUACUCAAAAAAAUAGAAAUUACGUAUGCACAAAAUUGUUAGUACAUAUAUAAGCAGCGGUCAGCAAGCUAGUUGAUAAUUUGACAGAUCUCUGUAGUCGUGGUAUGCUCUCCCUGAUGUCAUCUUAACGAAGCAUGGAAAAGGUUGAAAAAGAUGGUCUCUUCAAAGAAAAGAAUAUAUGCUUUACAGCAAGCUUGUCACAAGGACUACAGAAGUGACUUGGGGAUCUAAGAUACAAAUUAUUCUUUCGAAGAAAAUAUUCAGUAGCCAGUGAUUUGAUAUGAUUUGAACCCUUUAUUUACGUUGAAAGAAUCUUAGCUACUAUAUAAUCAAGGCAUUAUCAUCGAGGCCCCUCUCUUUCAACCAAGAGGAAGCUGAGCUGCAAGACCAGGCUGAAGCUGAAGCUGGAAUAUGAGGAUAUCCUACGCGCUCUUCUCUCUUCUACUCCUGCUAGUCUCAGCCAAGUUUAGCCAACCCCGGGCAAUCAUCCACGAGGUCAAUGCGGUGAGGAUUCCAGAGCACACAUGCCACAAGCUGCUAGACAUGAACAGCUGUGAUUCGCAGAAAUGUAACCAAGAAUGUUCCAAGGAACCUCUAGGAGUGGGAGAGUGUAGGAAUACCUUUUGUUCUUGCACAUAUUAUUGCAAGCAACCUCCAAUGUAAUGCAUUUCCAUCCUGCUUUGUCAUAGAACAGGAGUCCGUAUUCUGGCAUGUACAAAAUGCAUAUUUAGGUCUAGAGCAUCAUCAAUGUGGGCAUAAGAGAUGAGUCUUGACUAUUGUAUACGGAUACAGUAUUUUAGUACAAAAUCAGUGAAUGCUAUUUGAUUUUUCUCUUCCUAU